AGAAGGCUUGCUGAGGAGCACCCCCCCCUUUUAGGGGCCUACCCUGUAGCGCCUUACCCUGGAACGGCUUACCCUGUAACGGCUGCCGGUGGACUACCAAACUCUUGUUAUUUUAUUGUAAUCUGAGCGUCUUAUUUUAAUAUUUCAAAACUUUCAACAACGGAUCUCUUGGUUCUGGCAUCAAUGAAGAACGCAGCGAAAUGCGAUAAGUAAUGUGAAUUGCAAAAUUCAGUGAAUCAUCGAAUCUUUGAACGCACAUUGCGCCCAUUAGUAUUCUAGUGGGCAUGCCUGUUCGGGCGUGGUUUCAACCCUUAAGCCUAGCUUAAUGUUGGGAGCCUACUGCUUUUGCUAGCUGUAGCUCCUGAAAUACAAGGGGGGAUCUGCGAUAUCCUCUGAGCGUAGUAAAUUUUUAUCUCGCUUUUGACUGGAGUUGCAGCGUCUUUGGCCGCUAAAUCCCCCAAUUUUUAAUGGUUGACCUCGGAUCAGGUAAGAAUACCCGCUGAACUUAAG
rnacentral:rRNA from 1 species